GUCAAUCUACCCUAUGGACGGGAAUAACCUCGGGAAACUGAGAAUAAUGCCCGAUAGAACAUUAUGCCUGGAAUGGUUUAUGUUUCAAAUGAUUUAUCGCCAUAGGAUGGGACUGCGGCCUAUCAGUUUGUUGGUGAGGUAAUGGCCCACCAAGACUAUUACAGGUACGGGCUCUGAGAGGAGUAGCCCGGAGAUGGGUACUGAGACACGGACCCAGGCCCUAUGGGGCGCAGCAGGCGAGAAAACUUUGCAAUGUGCGAAAGCACGACAAGGUUAAUCCGAGUGGUUUCUGCUAAAGAAACCUUUUGUCAGUCCUAGAAACACUAACGAAUAAGGGGUGGGCAAGUUCUGGUGUCAGCCGCCGCGGUAAAACCAGCACCUCAAGUGGUCAGGAUGAUUAUUGGGCCUAAAGCAUCCGUAGCUCGUUUUGUAAGUUUUCGGUUAAAUCCAUGCGCUUAACGUAUGGGCUGCCGGGAAUACUGCAUAACUGGGAAGUGGGAGAGGUAGACGGUACUCGGUAGGAAGGGGUAAAAUCCUUUGAUCUAUUGAUGACCACCUGUGGCGAAGGCGGUCUACCAGAACACGUUCGACGGUGAGGGAUGAAAGCUGGGGGGGCAAACCGGAUUAGAUACCCGGGUAGUCCCAGCUGUAAACUAUGCAAACUCAGUGAUGCAUUGGCUUAUGGCCAAUGCAGUGCUGCAGGGAAGCCGUUAAGUUUGCCGCCUGGGAAGUACGUACGCAAGUAUGAAACUUAAAGGAAUUGGCGGGGGAGCACCACAAGGGGUGAAGCCUGCGGUUCAAUUGGAGUCAACGCCAGAAAUCUUACCCGGAGAGACAGCAGAAUGAAGGUCAAGCUGAAGACUUUGCCAGACAAGCU
rnacentral:rRNA from 1 species